rnacentral:sRNA from 1 species
GCUUCCUUAAUUCGCCGUGUGCGGGUC